rnacentral:rRNA from 1 species
AGUUUUAUCCUGGCUCAAAUUGAACGCUGGGGGUUGCCUUACUCAUGCAGGUCAAACGGCUGUGUGUUCUAUUUGGUUAUAUUGAGGGCGAGUGGCAAAGGGAGGAAUAAUACCUCGAACGGUGCCCUGUAGGGGGGAAUAACUACUCAAAAAAUUAUCUAAUACCGCAUACCACCUGAGGGUGAAAGUGGGGGACCGCAGGCCUCUGCUAUAAGAGCGGCCGAUGUCUGAUUAGCUAGUUGGUGGGGUAAAGGCCCACCAAGGCGACGAUCAGUAGCUGGUCUGAGAGGACGAUCAGCCACACUGGGACUGAGACACGGCCCAUACUCCUACGGGAGGCAGCAGUGGGGAAUUUUGAACGAUGGGGGCAACCCUGAUCCAUCACUGCCUCGUGUGUGAAGAACGCCUUCUUNUUGUAAAGCUCUUUUGUCCGGAAAGAAAUCGCAAUUACUAAUAUUAGGGGUGGAUGACCGUUCCGGAAGAAUAACGACCGGCUAACUACCUGCCCUCCCCCCCGGUAAUACGGAUGGUCCCAGCGUU